rnacentral:lncRNA from 1 species
UCCAUCUUCCUUUCACGGAAAAUGUUUUAACUUUGUCAAUUACCUUUAAAUAAUUCUAUGGCUGAUUGUAGAUUUUAUCCAAUGUGAAAAAGUCAAUCUUGCAUUUUUUUCCCAAGCCACUUCAACUAACUAUGGAGAUAUUAUCACCCCAUAAGUAAGUAUACAAUGUUUUAUUCUUAAGCAAGGGUGAGGGAUCCGAAUAUCAUGUGCAAUGCUCAAGAUGACGCACGCUUCGGACAGAACACGCAGAAUAAGAAUAGCUUCUUUCUUUCUGUAUCCAGGUAAUAUGAAGCUGGCAAUUGCAGUCCUGUCUUUAUGGGAUGAAAAAAGUCCCUUUACAGUAAGUUUCCUGAAAGGGAGAACAAAUAGAUAAUAACUCUUCUGCUAACACUGGCCAGUGUGCUUCUGGCGAUUAAACAUAAUCCUGUGUAUCACAUUAAUUCACUUGCUGAGUGUUCAUUUGCGGCAUCCCUCUGUUGGGUCUUGGGGGCCCUCCAUGACUUCAUGGGGCCCCCCGUGGUCUACUCUGCCCAGAGCCUUGCUUGAAAUUCUGCUGAUAUCCAGCCCACUGGUAGUCAGAGUAGUACUGUGACUGUGUAUAACCACUGUUUGGAGUGUUUGAGAAUGAAGGGCAGUGACCGUCAUAUCCUCCUCUAAAUCCAUUGGCAGUGCCCCUGUAUCCAUUCAUCAAGCAACUGGCACCACGAGACCCU